rnacentral:rRNA from 1 species
GACGAACGCUGGCGGCGUGCCUAAUACAUGCAAGUAGAACGCUGAAGGAGGAGCUUACUUCUCUGGAUGAGUUGCGAACGGGUGAGUAACGCGUAGGUAACCUGCCUGGUAGCGGGGGAUAACUAUUGGAAACGAUACCUAAUACCGCAUAAGAGUAGAUGUUGCAUGACAUUUACCUAAAAGGUGCAAUUGCACCACUACCAGAUGGACCUUCGUUGUAUUAGCUAGUUGGUGGGGUAACGGCUUACCAAGGCGACGAUACAUAGCCGACCUGAGAGGGUGAUCGGCCACACUGGGACUGAGACACGGCCCAGACUCCUACGGGAGGCAGCAGUAGGGAAUCUUCGGCAAUGGACGGAAGUCUGACCGAGCAACGCCGCGUGAGUGAAGAAGGUUUUCGGAUCGUAAAGCUCUGUUGUAAGAGAAGAACGAGUGUGAGAGCGGAAAGUUCACACUGUGACGGUAUCUUACCAGAAAGGGACGGCUAACUACGUGCCAGCAGCCGCCGCCG